rnacentral:rRNA from 1 species
UGACCUGCUAAAUAGCCCGGCUGACUUUUGUCGGCCGCUGGCUUCUUAGAGGGACUUUUGGCUCAAGCCAAUGGAAGUACGAGGCAAUAACAGGUCUGUGAUGCCCUUAGAUAUUCUGGGCCGCACGCGCGCUACACUGACAGAGCCAGCGAGUACAUCACCUUGUCCGAAAGGUCUGGGUAAUCUUGUUAAACUCUGUCGUGCUGGGGAUAGAGCAUUGCAAUUAUUGCUCUUCAACGAGGAAUGCCUAGUAAGCGCAAGUCAUCAGCUUGCGUUGAUUACGUCCCUGCCCUUUGUACACACCGCCCGUCGCU